UACGAAGGGGGCUAGCGUUGCUCGGAAUCACUGGGCGUAAAGGGUGCGUAGGCGGGUCUUUAAGUCAGGGGUGAAAUCCUGGAGCUCAACUCCAGAACUGCCUUUGAUACUGAGGAUCUUGAGUUCGGGAGAGGUGAGUGGAACUGCGAGUGUAGAGGUGAAAUUCGUAGAUAUUCGCAAGAACACCAGUGGCGAAGGCGGCUCACUGGUCCAUUACUGACGCUGAGGUGCGAAAGCCAGGGGAGCAAACAGG
rnacentral:rRNA from 1 species